rnacentral:lncRNA from 1 species
AAAAAUCCCUCUCAGGAUCUCUCUAACGGUCACACACCAUACACACACCUCAUUCUCUCUCCAAUCUAAAAAAAUCUCACAAAAAUCCUGAGGAAUCUCUCUUCUUUCUCUCACGUAUUAAAAUGCCUCUCUCACUCUGCACAAAAAAAAAGGAACGACCUCACAAUCCACUCUUCAGCGGACUCCCACACAGCUCACUCACAGCUCCACUCAAAUUCCUCACCAAAACAGGCACCUCACCAUUCACUCCUCACUCACAUUUCUCACUCUCUGAAAAACCAUCUUCACACAUUUCUCUCUCAAGAAAAAAACCCCUCAUUCACUCUCAAGACUCCGCCUCUCACACUUCAUCUCCAUCCUCCAAACCCUUUCUCCUCACAUAGCUCAAAAACCCUUCACUUUUUUUUUCUCCGCCGCGAAACCAUUUGACUCACACCUCCACCGCCGUGUAAAACCGGAAACGCCACCUUCAUCCUCGUCCAUUCCAAAACCCAACCCUCAAAAAACCCAUUACCGCCGCCGCCAUCCGUCACCAUAGAACCUCCACCACAACCUCACCGUCAUCCUCUCACGAAACCCUCUCAAAAACCAUCAAACCACUAAACCGUCCUUCAACCUAAAUUCACCGUUUACCUUCAAAUCGCUACCACACCUCCGACAGCAACAACCAAAUCUCGGCACCGCCACCUAUUCGACAACCGCUACCCUAAAAUCAUGCUAACGGCUGUUUUGGACCUUGGAUAGGUUAUAAGUUUAUUGCUAUUUUGCAGGUCGAUUCCUUUCGGCGACUUUGUUCUCGUAAGCGCCAAGGGCCGGUUUCUAUGUUCAGUAUGGCUAAAGCGUCAAAAUCGAAGCAGAGAUAGAAAAGUUUGGCUCAAGAUUGUGGAUCGGUUUGGAAGCUCAUCACUUGAUCCGACCGUCUAAGGCCGUCCAGCACAAACCGUUCAUUCCGACACAACACGCCAGCAGCUUACAGCGAUGGAGAUCCUCGUUUAGGGUAACGGUUUCGAGUCCCUUUGACUGUAUAAUAGUGGUGUUCUCAUCCAAUUCAAUCAUCUGCUAAGUAGAACUUAUUGUUGAUCAUAUAUAUUGGUUGGAAUGUAUAGGGUAUGUACAUGCUUAACUGUUUUAAUUCUGGGUGUUUAAGCUGGUUGAAUUUACGGAUCAUUUUGAAGCUAUUAUUGGGGUAAUUGUUUUUCUGUGUACCCUAUACCGUUUUGAUUCUGAAUAUGGAAAUUGUUUUGCUCCAUACCAUUUUGAGUAGGGUAUAUGCUGGUGAUCAUUUUGGUUAUUAGCUUUUAUGUUGUUUUGAUACCCUUGAAUUUCAAUUGAGCAACUGGUAUUUUUGUAAUACUUUACGUUAACCGUGGCCUGUUGCAACUAUAGAUUUUAAAUAACAGAACGUUGGACCUAAUAUUGGUUAUAGUAAUGAAGUUCUUGUUGGAUUGGAUAAAAUAUCGAACAUUUUUGCUUCUCUGUAAUACGCAGGAAUUUGCAAUUUGUUUUACUGCAACACAUUGGCUUUUUAGGAUGUGUAUGGUCAUAAAUGUGUUGUUAUUUGUAGCACGUUAAGGUUGAGACUUAUACCACCAUGAAUGUAUUGAUUGCCUGAGGUUUAUUCUAUUAAUUGAGUUUUUCAGCUUACAUUGCCAUAGUAUGCCUGCGGUUAUAUUAAAAUGAUAAGAUAUUUUCGGUCAUUAGUCACUGUAAAUGAGUUUGUCUAUUGUUAAAUCAUAUUUUUGAUAGUGGUUUCGGCAAUAUCAUGUUGGUUUACCACCCAAAUUUCCAC